AGAUAGAUCUUGACCUGAUAAACAAUUUUACCACAUGUCAGAUUUGCCCUAAAUGCUUUGGUUUCAGAGAUAUAAGCCAAAAUCAACAUUUUACCCCCUAUGUUCUAUUUUUAGCCAUCUUGGUUCAUGGACACAUUUCUUUUAACUAGAUACCCAAAUGAUGUUUGUGGUCAAGUUUGGUUAAAUUUGGCCCAGUAGUUUCACAGGAGAAGAUUUUUUGUAAAAAUUAACGAC
rnacentral:lncRNA from 1 species